rnacentral:rRNA from 1 species
GCAGUCGAGCGGUAACAGAUCUAGCUUGCUAGAUGCUGACGAGCGGCGGACGGGUGAGUAAUGCAUAGGAAUCUGCCCGAUAGUGGGGGAUAACCUGGGGAAACCCAGGCUAAUACCGCAUACGUCCUACGGGAGAAAGGGGGCUUCGGCUCCCGCUAUUGGAUGAGCCUAUGUCGGAUUAGCUAGUUGGUAAGGUAAUGGCUUACCAAGGCAACGAUCCGUAGCUGGUCUGAGAGGAUGAUCAGCCACAUCGGGACUGAGACACGGCCCGAACUCCUACGGGAGGCAGCAGUGGGGAAUAUUGGACAAUGGGGGCAACCCUGAUCCAGCCAUGCCGCGUGUGUGAAGAAGGCCCUCGGGUUGUAAAGCACUUUCAGCGAGGAAGAACGCCUGGUGGUUAAUACCCACCAGGAAAGACAUCACUCGCAGAAGAAGCACCGGCUAACUCCGUGCCAGCAGCCGCGGUAAUACGGAGGGUGCAAGCGUUAAUCGGAAUUACUGGGCGUAAAGCGCGCGUAGGUGGCUUGAUAAGCCGGUUGUGAAAGCCCCGGGCUCAACCUGGGAACGGCAUCCGGAACUGUCAGGCUAGAGUGCAGGAGAGGAAGGUAGAAUUCCCGGUGUAGCGGUGAAAUGCGUAGAGAUCGGGAGGAAUACCAGUGGCGAAGGCGGCCUUCUGGACUGACACUGACACUGAGGUGCGAAAGCGUGGGUAGCAAACAGGAUUAGAUACCCUGGUAGUCCACGCCGU